AAAUAAAUUGAUUUUUGCAAAUUCUCUUCUUUUUUUUGUGGGUUGCCAUCUAAGCCUAGUAAACCUAAGUAUAAAUAUAAUGUUUUAUCAAAAUAAUCAGCCUUUGAAUCGUUUUUUCUUCUACGUUAGCCGUCCCUAACCUCCUCUCCCUCUCUUUAUCUUUACUUUUUUUCUUUUCCCUUUUUCCUACAUUGUUCACAUUGUCUACACCUCCCCUUUUACCAUCUUCUUCUUUUUUUGCAGCAAGAUUGUGCACCAUCUUCUUUACUAUAUUGC
rnacentral:lncRNA from 1 species